GUCUUUUCGAGGUAGGAGUCGACUCCUGUGAGGUAUGGUGCUGGGUGCAGAUGCAGUGUGGCUCUGGAUAGCACCUUAUGGACAGGUAAGAAUUGGGGAAAGUAUGGUGGGAAGAAUGAAAUCUAAGAGGUGGUCUCAGCCUGUGAUGCUUUAAGAGUAGUGGACAGAAGGGAUUUCUGAAAUUCUAUUCUGAGGCUUUAAUGUUAACAGCAUUUAUAUUUAACGUGACUGCUGUGAGGUUCAUUCUCACUGUUUUGCUUGCAUCUUUUUGUUUUCUAGUUGUGUCCCCAAGGAAGGAUGAGAAUAGCUACUGAAGUAAGUUGAAAAUUCCCUCUCAAAAAGGUUUAAAGCCAUUGGAUGUGCCACAAUGAUGACAGUUUAUUUGCUACUCUUGAGUGCUAGAAUGAUGAGGAUCUUAACCACCAUUAUCUUAACUGAGGCACCCAAAAUGGUGAGUUGGGGAACAUAGAGAGUACACCUAAGUUCACAUGAAGUUGUUUCUUCCCAGGUCCUAAAGAGCAAGCCUAACUCAAGCCAUUGGCACACAGGUGAGACACCUCUAUUUUGUACUUCUCACUUUUAAGGGAUUAGAAAAUAGCCAAAGCAAUGAUGAUUAUCUAUGUUAGUGCUUCUCUCCCCUCUUUUCAAAUGAGAAUUUUGCUCUCAUAUUGAUACUAAGUUUAAUACUGAAGAAAAUGUGAAAACAGAUACUAUGAUGGUUGCAUAGUUCAGCAGAUUUAAUCAUGAAGAGAUGUACUAUCUGUCUGAUGUAUCUGGGGUAGUUGUGGUUUGCUGUUAAUGGUUAAGCAGUGUACCACCAAUCUACCAUUAAAAUAUUUUUUGCUGACAAUUUUGUAUUAAAAUUACAGGCAUUAGACAGAAAGCUGGAAGUUGAAAUGGUAAGUGAAACUGUAUCCAAGUAAGCAGGUAACUGGGCAAACUUCCUACGGCACAAAUGGCUUUUUAGUUACCUCCUAGUGCUGAAUGCAUUAAAUAAAUGGCGGAUUCUUGUCUUGUUAUGAUUAAUAAGAAAGUUUGUAAAUGCAGCCUGGAUGAUGAUAAGCAAAUGCUGACUGAACAUGAAGGUCUUAAUUAGCUCUAACUGACUAAAGGCAUUUGUUAGUUUUGGCAGGGGGUGAACACUCAUCUGUGGCUAUUCUAAGACCACUCUUAUUUCUUAGGUGGAGUCCAACUUGCCUGGACCAGCUUAAUGGUUCUGGUAAGUAUUAAUGAAAACAGUAGAUAGACUUAAUGAAAAUGCUGAUGGUGAUAUGCUUACUGCUGAGCUAAUGGCUUAAGGCUUGGCUGAUGAAUACUGACUGUAUUUUCCUUGAGCAUGUCUGGAACAGUGUUUAUGUGUUUUCCUUGAGCAUGUUUGGAACGGGGUUUGUGUAAUGAUGUUGAUCAAAUGUCUGACCUGAAAUGAGCAUGUAGACAAAGGUAACACUGAAGAACCCUGUGACAGACAACUUUGAAAAGAGUUUAAUGAUGUUUAGCAUUUUAAUGGAAGUCCUCAUUUGUAUUCCAGCUCCUGGUAACGUUUUUAUCCAUGGAUGACUUGCUUGGGUAAGGACAUGAAGACAGUUCCUGUCAUACCUUUUAAAGGUACAUGUUUUAUUGAUGUUAACGUUAAUUGAUUGAGCUACUGUUAGUGAUGAUUUUAAAAUUAAAGCAGAUGGGAAUCUCUCUGAGAAAGAAAAUGGAGAUUAAUCUUAAACUGAAACAGUAGUUGGGAAAUCUUUUAGAAAUCCACCUAUUACUACCUAUUGGUAAAGGAGAUUAAAUUUCUACAGGUAUGGAGAGUCGGCUUGACUACACUGUGUGGAGCAAGUUUUAAAGAAGCAAAGGUAUAGCAGUUCCAAGUAUUUUUUUUUUUUUUUUAGACAAGAGUCUAGCUCUUGCCCAGAAUGGAGUGCAGCGGCACUAUCAGUUCACUGCAACCUCUGCCUCCCAGGUUCAAGGAAUUCUCCUGCCUCAGCCUCUUGAGUAGCUGGGAUUACAGGCAUGUGACACCAUGCCUGGCUAAUUUUGUACAGCUAUGUUGUCCAGGCUGGUCUCGAACUCUUGACCUCAAGUGAUACUGCCCGCACUGACCUCCCAAAGUGCUGGGAUUACAGGCGUGAGCCACCAUGCCCCGCCUCAAGUCUGGUUUUUAAGUGUUGUAAAGCCGAUACAAUGAUGAUAACAUAGUUCAGCAGACUAACGCUGAUGAGCAAUAUUAAGUCUUUCGCUCCUAUCUGAUGUAUCUGGCGGUAACAUUCUAGUUUAUGCCCCGAAAAGGGGAAUAUAGCCAUUCUAUAAUGUUUGGAGAUUUUGGAUUACUCCUAAUUGUAUGCAAGUUGUCUUACUGUGUAUUGUCCCUUAAUUUCAGGACUCAGAAUUCAUGAUUGAAGAAAUGCAGGUUAGUUUAAACUUUGAAGGAAAUUUUUAAGGUGGCAAAAGGUUUUGGUGGCAUAUACACCUUAAUCUGUAGAUGGGAGUGAUUAGCUGUUUAAAAGUUAAAAUGUGACUGAGAAGGAAAUUGAGUAGGGCAAAUUUUAAAUGGGUAUUAUUUUUCAUCUUCAAACAGGCAGACCUGUUAUCCUAAACUAGGUGAGUCAGCUUUUGGUACAUGUGAUGAUUUUCAGUGUAACCAAUGAUGUAAUGAUUCUGCCAAAUGAAAUAUAAUGAUAUCACUGUAAAACCGUUCCAUUUUGAUUCUGAGGUUACUCUACUAACAAGCAUCACACAUUUGUAUUUUGCCCUGAUUAAUAUGUUGGCUUCGCUUUCAGGGUUUUUAAUGACCACAACAAGCAAGCAUGCAGCUUACUGCUUGAAAGGUGAGGAUUGGAAAUGUUGGGACUAUUAUAAUUGCAGAAUACAUGAUGAUCUCAAUCCAACUUGAACUCUCUCACUGAUUACUUGAUGACAAUAAAAUAUCUGAUAUUCUGCAUUCCCAUGUAGCAUUUUAAUUGAAGUCUGUAAAUGUGGCUAAAAGUCUUGUCUUAUUUUUUGAGACAGGGUCUUGCCUCACCCAAGCUAGAGUGCAGUGGCCUUUGAAGCUUACUACAGCCUCAAACUUCUGGGCUCAAGUGAUCCUCAGCCUCCCAGUGGUCUUUGUAGACUGCCUGAUGGAGUCUCAUGGCACAAGAAGAUUAAAACAGUG
rnacentral:lncRNA from 1 species